UGAAUAGGCUAUUUCUCACUGAUGAAUUUCUCUUUUGUCUUCAUAGAGGUGUUGGUGGACUUGCCAAUGUGGCCACUCCAGUGACCUUUCAGGAAUUGCAGCGUAAGAUUCUGAGCACAGGCACACAUACACAGAAGAAUGGCUGCAUUGGAAUUACACUGUGGGCCGGAGCCUGGGAGUUGUGUGUGGGGUGGAGACAGAGCUGACCUGCUUGACAGUUUUGACUCCGAGAUGCAGGAAUGGGAAGAUCAGCUACAGGACAUGCAGAGGAAGAUUGAAGAGGUGAGACAAAUUUUCAACAGAGGUGACACCAGUCAUUAUGACAGAAUCCAUAUCCAUCCAACCAUCUCCAUAUCUAGAGAGAGAGAGAGAGAUCCUUAUUCGAAAAUGUAAACAAACUUCAAAAAUAUAAUGCUCUGAUAAACCAUGCCAAAAGUUCCACUGGCACUGCAAUUCUGCAUGGAGUUGUGAUAGUGGGCACGAACUAGAAUUGUGAUUGGCUGAAAGGAUCUUGACCCCCUGUUGCCCAAGUUGGCUGCAUCUCUUGGAUAUAAUAAUAGGUGCUUUCCCCACAACACCAUGACUGUGACAGAUGUUAACAAGCUUAUUAAACCCAAAAGGAUAGGGGUUACAGGCUACUUACAAACAUUCACAAACAGUCUCUCUCACACAAAAACACAGGAAGUUAAUGCAUUCCUGCUGAAACAGGCCAAGCAAGCAUGUUGUUAUUGGUAGAUUAAUUAACCUUUGAGCAUGCAAGCCCUCCCUCUCACUGACCCAUUCUAAAGAAGAAACCCAUGCUGUUUACUUAUGUAAAUGUUGCGUAACUAGUCUAUGCAGUACAUUAUGUCAGUUGUAUUCACUGACUUAUGGAUUUAAAACAUUUGCUUUAAUGUAGGUGGGCAAAAAAAUCAUACUUUAUGAAUGCUGAGUUUGUCUCUAACAUUGUGAUUGUAUUUCAGUUGUAUAAUGAGGUCAAAGCACGAAGAGAAGCCAGCGAGAGCAGCACAAACAACAUCACAAACAAUAAAAACCUGGACAUUACUUUGCUUCCUGUCAACUCUCAGUAUAGCCACCAGGCCAAUUGUUAUCACGAACCUCACCCCAACAACAGCCUCCCAAUUUGUCAAUGCAGUGAAAUAAAAGCAGAUCCUUCAGUUAUGCAAAGCCUUGGGUUUCACCACCCCAGUGAAUACUGUAAUGGCUCCAACAAUUACAUGCUUAAUUCCCUGAGCAACGGCAGCCAUUACCCUGCCAGUUGUCAUGCUUUUGAAAGGCAAGAUGCCACCGUAGACAUACUCAAUGGAUACCUCCAACAGGGUCCACAUUUUAGAAGGAACCCAGGGAAUCUUGGAGCUCCAAAUAGAGUGAGUACCUCUUUCACUAUUGAUAAAUAUCUCCUCAAACUGGACUCUUAUACCUCAAGGAUUUGUCUUUAUACUUUUUCACCUUAUCCCUUCAUAUCUCCCUCUUUUUUUGAUUCAGAACCCCAAGGUAUAUCCAGUUACACACAGUUAUCAAGACAGCAUGAAGACCAGCCUGGCGACAAACAGGUAAAGCCUUUCCAAUCUCAACCUAUCAGAUUCAUUCCUAUUGUUGUCCUAAUAUCGUGCAUGUUUCUUGUUGGUUAUAGACCAACGCUUAGUGUUUGCCCAGCUCCCUCUUGUGACUACUUGAUUGAUUUAUCUUUUCACCUUAGGACUGCCUCGUGUGUGGUUCUGGGUGAGAUUGAGGAGGCUGAGAACAAAAAGAACAAGAAAUCAAGUUGGGAUGACUCCCAAGCCCGCCACGUUAGCUGGAAAGACCCGGUUUCAUCAAAUGACCUUCCCCCUAAAAAUUCAGCUUCCAAACUGGCAAUCAGACAGAGAGAUUCUUCUCCUGUAACCCCUCGUUUCACUUACCAUGAGUCAUCACAGCAACCUGACAGGAAGUGCCUCUUGCUUGACAGGAAAUCUGGCAGCCCAUCAGUGUUGCGUAAGUUUGGUGCCAUGUUGCAGGAGAACGAGGGAAAAACCCUGAUAGAGGAUGGUCUCAUGACCACCGUUGUCACCACUGAACCUCCGAGGCAAACCAGCACUCCCAUUUGCCAGAGCAAGUUUGAUGCCAGGCAGGCAUCCUCACGCACGCACGUCCAGAAAUGCCUUGCAGACUGUGAUGUACUGGUAGCAGAUCUGGAGCACAGCCAGGAGUCUUGGGCAGCUGGUCCUUCUAGACACCUCCUCAAUGGAGACAGAGACAGUGGGAGGGGUGGUUGUGUUCUUGAACAGCAUGGCUUGGCCUGUAACUUAAGCCAGUCACAGCCUCACCUUAAUUCGGGGUAUCACAAGGUGGCUUCAAUGUCUAAAGCCCACAAAGCGGGCUUCCAGAGUAAGGACCUUUUCUCUGACUGCCCGAUGGUAGAAAGGAUUCUGGGAGUAGGAUCUCAAAACUUCAAUAAGGUACACAGAGGACUUGGUGUCAAAAUGAUGAGACGGGGAAAUGACAACUUGGAGCAACUUCUGGAAGUGAUGGAAAUGGAGAACAACAGAAGUCAGAGGGCCACAUUCACCCAGCAACUGGACAACAAGCAGGUCAACCGGGAGUCAUCUCCUGCGCCUAGCAGUAGCCAUUUUUCUCGUCCUGCUCGACCAGCCAAUCAACGUCGUCCAUCCAGAUGGGUUAAGCAUACUCACCCAAGCAAAAUUGCCCACACAUCCGGCCCAACAAGCCCUGGCCUGAACGCCAAACAAUUAUUGAAUUCAUAUUCCCGGCACACAGAAACUGUCAUCAUGUGACCAGGAUGCAACAAGCUUUAAAGGACACUUUCACCCAAUGGCAUAAACUAAACUUUGACCUUUUGUAGAACACAAUCUACUUUUUUGUAUAUAUAACCAACACCACCACAUGAACGUAACUUAUUGCAGCCUACUAAAAUGGCCUGUGGUAUUUUCCUUAAAUAACUUCAAAAGGUUACUGCUUUCAUUUAACGCUGCGCUGUUUGAAGUGCUUUGGAAAGAAACUCCAGUGGACCUUCUCUAACCUGGUGAACUUCUGUGCCUAUGAACCCUUCAUUGCCUUUUCUCUUCAUUUCUUUCUGUCAUUCUCAUUAAAUUUUCUAUUCUUUUAUUCUGUUUUCUAUUUCCCAGAGUGCUUUGUGUACAGUGCAGUUCUUGCGGUGCCAUUUAGGACAUUUUUGUAACCAUAUAUGCAUGUUUGCAACAGGCAUAACAUGUAUUUAAACAUACAUGGCAACGAGUUAUUGAGCCUUAUCUAUUAUGCAUAAACUGUAAAGGCGUGUGCAAACGUUUUGAUGUUCUGUCAUAAAGUCCAUUUCAGUAUUGCAUUAGUGCUUCAUAAUAUUGACAUGAUAACGGGCUCAUAAUGUUUUUUUUCCUUAUAAAGCCUUAUUUGACUGCACCUGACGUGGGCUGUAACUACUCGGUGUAUGGUAACAUGUCUGCAUUCUCCAGCCUUGUAAAAAAAAAAAAAAGCCAAAUGAAGUGAAUUAUUCUUUAAGUUCAACAUCUGUGAAAAGUACAUUAUAUCUUUUGACAAUAAUAUGAAGAAAUGCUUUUGGAAUGUUUAUUUAUUAUUGUGAUAUGUGACCCUUACAAAAACGUGAUGCUUUUUUUUUUCUCUAGAUAAUAAAUGCAAGUGCUUUGACAAGUUAGUGGAACUCUUGAACUCUAGACUCCAUAUGCUUUAUUUUUAUUUUGUGGUGAUUGCUAAUGUU
ensembl:lncRNA uncharacterized LOC107599283